UCUCGGCUUAUCACCGGCAGUCCCCUUAGAGUGCCCAACUGAAUGAUGGCAACUAAUGGCAAGGGUUGCGCUCGUUGCGGGACUUAACCCAACACCUCACGGCACGAGCUGACGACAGCCAUGCACCACCUGCACAGAAGUCCCUUGCGGGAGGCGCUCACUUUCGUGAACGUUUCCUCUGCAUGUCAAGCCCAGGUAAGGUUCUUCGCGUUGCCUCGAAUUAAACCACACGCUCCGCUGCUUGUGCGGGCCCCCGCCUAUUCCUUUGAGUUUUAACCUUGCGGCCGUACUCCCCAGGCGGUCAACUUCACGCGUUAGCUACGGUACUGAGGAAUCGCUCCCCCAACACCCAGUUGACAUCGUUUAGGGCGUGGACUAC
rnacentral:misc_RNA from 1 species